rnacentral:rRNA from 1 species
UACGUAGGGUGCGAGCGUUAAUCGGAAUUACUGGGCGUAAAGCGUGCGCAGGCGGUUUUGUAAGCCAGAUGUGAAAUCCCCGGGCUUAACCUGGGAAUGGCAUUUGGGACUGCAAGGCUUGAGUGCGGCAGAGGAGACUAGAAUUCCUGGUGUAGCAGUGAAAUGCGUAGAUAUCUGGAGGAACACCGGUGGCGAAGGCGGCAUCCUGGACCAACACUGACGCUGAGGAGCGAAAGCCAGGGGAGCAAACGGG